AGGGCACACAGAGGAUGCCUUGAUAUGUAGUACCGAAGAAGGACGUGAUAGUCUGCGAUAAGCUUGGGGGAGCUGACAAUGAGUUUUGAUCCCAAGAUUUCCGAAUGGGGCAACCCACUCUGGGUCAUGCCAGAGUACUUCUGCCUGAAUAUAUAGGGUAGAUAGAGGGAACCGCGUGAACUGAAACAUCUUAUUAGCGCGAGGAAGAGAAAGUAAUCAACGAUUCCGUGAGUAGUGGCGAGCGAAAAUGGAAUAGCCCAAACCUUUUAGAUUUUUUGUUCAUCAAUUUUGAUGAUCAAAAUAAGUUGGUAGACGAAUAUCUAUAAGGGGUUGCAAGAUUAUACAAGAUCAAGCAAGAGUUCUUUGUUCUGUAAGGUUCAGAGAGUUCUUGUUUGUGAAGUUUACUGCCAAUUGAACUGUGAUAAAUAGACUUAGUUAAAAGAACAAGCUGGAAAGCUUGGCCGAAGAGAGUGAAAGCCUCGUAUUUGAAAAUUAAGUUUAGAAAUCAUCUGUAUUUUCUUAAGUAGGUCGGGACACGUGAAACCCUGACUGAAUCUAGGAGGACCACCUCCUAAGGCUAAAUAUACUACAUGAUCGAUAGUGAACGAGUACCGUGAGGGAAAGGUGAAAAGAACCCCGGGAGGGGAGUGAAAUAGAACCUGAAACUGUGUGCCUACAAGGAGUCGGAGCGGACUUGUUCCGUGACGGCGUGCUUUUUGUAGAACGAUCCAACGAGUUAUUCUAUAGUGCAGCUUAAGGUGUAUACCGGAGGCACAGCGAAAGCGAGUCUGAAUAGGGCGCAUGUACUAUGGAAUAGACCCGAAACCCGGUGACCUAACCAUGACCAGGCUGAAGUAUCGGUAAAACGAUGCGGAGGGCCGAACCAAUGUAGUGACUGCUUGGAUGAGUUGUGGUUAGCGGUGAAAUGCCAUUCGAACCGGGAGAUAGCUGGUUCUCCUCGAAAUAGCUUUAGGGCUAGCGUCGCGCGGUAGCAAUUGGGGGUAGAGCUCUGAAAAGAACUGAGGCUGGCAACGGUACUCACUCUUACCAAACUACGAAUACCAAUUGUGGAAUCGCGGCAGUUAGAACACGGGGGCUAAGCUCCGUGCUCGAAAGGGAAACAGCCCAGACCAUCGUCUAAGGUCCCUAAAUCAAUACUAAGUGGGAAACGAACUGAGGCUUCUUAAACAGCGAGGAUGUUGGCUUAGAAGCAGCCAUUCAUUUAAAGAGUGCGUAACAGCUCACUCGUCGAGAAGCCUUGGGCGGAAGAUGUAACGGGGCUAAAGUAUUGUACCGAAGACAUGGAUUGCAGUUUUUACUGCAGUGGUAGAGGAGCGUUGAUAGUGCGCUGAAGGUGAACUGUGAGGUUUGCUGGAGAGCUAUCAAGUGAGAAUGUUGGAAUAAGUAACUUCAAGAAAGGUGAGAAUCCUUUCCGCCGAAAGAGUAAGGUUUCCUGGGCAAUGGUAAUCAUCCCAGGGUUAGUCGGGCCUAAGCCGAGGCAGUUUAGCGUAGGCGAUGGACAACGGGUUAAUAUUCCCGUACCGGUAUAAAAUUUUUGAUAAAUUGCGGAGUGGUAGUUUGAGCGGAUUCAUGGUUAUAUCCGUUUAACUAGUUAGAUUUCGAUCGAGCUAGGAGUACGAGUUGUAGGCUUUCGAGCCCGCGACGAGUCAACAAGUCCAUUCUGCCCAGAAAAGUUUAUUAGAUUAUGUUUUAUGCCGCCCGUACCGUAAACCAUUAAAGGUACUCAGGUCGAGUAGACCAAGGCGUACGAGAGAAUCUUGGUUAAGGAACUCGGCAAUAUAGCGACCGUAACUUCGGGAUAAGGUCUGCCUAGCGUAAAAACUAGGUUGCAACAAAAGAGUCCAGGCGACUGUUUAUUUAAAACACAGGUCUCUGCUAACACGAAAGUGGAUGUAUAGGGGCUGACGCCUGCCCAGUGCCGGAAGGUUAAGGGGAUAAGUUAACGCUUUGAACUGAAGCCCCGGUGAACGGCGGCCUUAACUAUUAGGGUCCUAAGGUAGCGAAAUUCCUUGUCGGGUAAGUUCCGACCCGCACGAAUGGCGUAACGAUCUGGACACUGUCUCAACCAAGAUCUCGGUGAAAGUGCAUUGGCGGUAAAGAUGCCGUCUGUCCGCACCAGGACGAAAAGACCCCGUGGAGCUUUACUACAAGUUUACAUUGAAUCGGGUUACAACAUGUGUAGAAUAGGUGGGAGCCUUCGAAGCAGAUGCGCCAGCAUUUGUGGAGGCAUCAGUGAAAUACCACCCUUGUUGUGAUCUUGUUCUUACCCUUACCGUUAUCCGGUAAGGGGACCGUGUAUGCUGGGUAGUUUAACUGGGGCGGUUGCCUCCCAAAGAGUAGCGGAGGCGUUCAAAGGUUGGCUAACU
rnacentral:rRNA from 1 species